rnacentral:rRNA from 1 species
AACGAACGCUGGCGGCAUGCCUAACACAUGCAAGUCGAACGAGACCUUCGGGUCUAGUGGCGCACGGGUGCGUAACGCGUGGGAACCUGCCUUUAGGUUCGGAAUAACUCAGAGAAAUUUGAGCUAAUACCGGAUGAUGUCUUCGGACCAAAGAUUUAUCGCCUUUAGAUGGGCCCGCGUUGGAUUAGCUAGUUGGUGGGGUAUAGGCCUACCAAGGCGACGAUCCAUAGCUGGUCUGAGAGGAUGAUCAGCCACACUGGGACUGAGACACGGCCCAGACUCCUACGGGAGGCAGCAGUGGGGAAUAUUGGACAAUGGGCGAAAGCCUGAUCCAGCAGUGCCGCGUGUGUGAUGAAGGCCUUAGGGUUGUAAAUCUCUUUUACCCGAGAUGAUAAUGACAGUAUCGGGAGAAUAAGCUCCGGCUAACUCCGUG